CUCUUAUGAGUAUUGGGCUCUUUGUACUCAUAAGUUAUUUUCGAUGAUGGGGCUUUCGAAUUGACGAUUUACUCCGUUAAAUAUGAUCUAGAAUAUUUGAAACUUCUAGAAAAUAAAUUUCGUAAUUUUUCGAAAUCAUAAUAAAGUCCAUCAAACAGGUAUAAAAUGAACAGUCGAAAUCGAACGACGUCCUAAAAAUGGAAGAUUGGAUCCUUCAAUUUAAGAUCGGAGAUAUUGAUCUUUAUCUAGGUAGUGAGUAGAAUUUUCUAUUAAAAAUUCAACCUAUUCCAAUUCUUUUACACCAUUAAACUAGCAAGUAUCUCAUACCGGUCGUCAAAAAUUGUUAAUUUUGUGAACUUUUGAUCGUAAGGUAAAUGAUGUCGAAAAAUUAUGAAUUUUGAUUUCUAUAAAUACUCUAGAUAAUAUUUAGCGGUAUAAAUCGUCGAUUCGGAAGCUCUAUCAUCGAAAACAACUUAUGAGUACGAGGGCGAUCGUACUCAUAAGAGUAUAGUAGCCGGACUCUCUCUCUCUCUCUCUCUCUCUCUCUCUCUCUCUCUCUCUAUAUAUAUAUAUAUUAAUAUUAUAGCCAGCAGGUUGCUUGUGCCCUCUCAGAGAAGCACGGAGGCCUCCGUGCUCCUGAGCCAUUUCGUGAUGGAGUUUUUCGAAUCGAUAAAUCGGGUCCGUUAACUUGAUCUAGCGUAUUUAAAGUUCUAGAAAAUCAUUUUUGCCUGUUUUUCGAUAUCAUUUACUUAGCAAUCGAAAGGAUUCAAAUCAAUAUUUUUAACGGCUGAAAAUAAAUUCUAUAAAAAGUAAAGGGGUGAUAUAGCACUAAAAUUCUCAUCAGAACAUAUAGAUUUGUUGUAGCAAGUAUAAAGAAUUUUCUAUUAAAAUUUUAUCUGAUUGAAUACUCACACGAUAAAUUUGAAAACCGGGAUACUCAACCAUUUAAAAAUUGUAGAUUUUGAAAUCUUUCGAUAUUACUUAUUUAAAUGUAUCGAAAAAUCGGGCAAAAGUAUUUUCUAGAAACUUCAAAUGCGCUAGAAUCAGUCUAACGGAGCCGAUCGUCGGAAUUCGAAAAUCCGAUCAUCGAAACGGCUCAGGAGACGGUGGCCUCCGGUGGCCUCCGUGCUCUGAUGAGACCACAGAGCCAUGCAUCAAUAUAUUAUAAAAUAUAUAUAUAGUAUAAUUUUAUAUAGAGUAGGUAGAUAUCAUCAAGUAGCACGGAGGCUUCGUGCUACAGCAAGAUUGUUUCAAUGAUGGACUUCCAAAUCAACGAUCAAAUUACUGUUAGACUUAUCUACUAUUCAAAGUAUUUGUAAAUCUAAUUUAUAAUUUUCGGUAUUCAUUUACUAUAAAACGAGUAGUCUAAACUUAACGACUGGAACAUACAAAUUUCUAAAAUGAUGAUAAAGGACUGAAUUAAGAUCAGAGAUACUGAGUCUUACUCUAAAGUAGUGAACGAAUUUUCUAUUAAACAUUUCAUCUAAUUUGGAUGUUUUCACAGUUAAAAUUCCACAGAGACGCAUUAAAUCUUACUAUUGAAAAUUAUCAAUUUGAGACCUUUUAUCACUAGCCAGAUAAUGUUGAAAAAAUUCAUUGAAUUAGUUUCCAAAUACUUUUGAUAGUUAGAUCAAGUCUAACGGAGGCGAUCGUCGAUUUUGGACCGCAUCAUUGAAAACACUUGGUGCAGGAGGCCUCGCGUUGCUACCGAUAGUUAUCCAGCUGCUCAAUAUAUAUAUAUAUAUAUAUAUAUUAUUAUUAUAAUCUAAUAUAUAUAUAGAACUAGGCAUGGGAAUACUAUUAAUAGAACCUAGGUGGAAUCCUAUUAAGUUUCGCCCUUGGAUUAAAGAGUGCGUUUAUUGAUGAUGCGGCCCUCUAGGUUGAGUGAGUGGUUGAUUGAAGUAGUAUAAUCUAACGGUAAAAUGAUCAAAGGGUUAUUCAUGAACGGCAUAAAAAUUGUUGAUAGCACCAACUACUUAGGUUGCGUUAGAUAGAUGCAGCCCGGACUCUAUAUAUAUAUAUAUAUAUAUUAUAUAUAGGAGGGAGAGAGAGAGAGAUGGGACUGAAGAGAGAGACGAGAAGAGAGAGGAGAGAGAGAGUUGAGCGUAUGAUACUUUUACAAGUAUCACCAUCAUGGUGUAUUAGGUUUUAAGCAUUGGAACUACUUUUUGAUUAUUAAUAGCCUUGAGAUGUAAACACUUAUGUCCCACUGCACCAGCCUACCACCACCCUGACCACCAUCAUUUCAACCUCACAUCUCUCCAUUCCAAGGCUUAAUACACAAGUAUCACCCCGAUUGAUACUUUUACAAGUAUUGCUAGCCCUACUCUCUCUCUCUCUUUUCUCUAGUAUAUAUUAUAUAUAUAUAUGAAUUAUCCUACUAUCACUAUCAAUAGUACAAGGCCCGGUACUAUGAGUUUUGCGCGUUGGAUGAAAGGAAUUGCCGGUUAGGAUGAUAGUGGUCCCUAGGGUUGAGGCUGUGGUUGCGUUUAGUAUAAUC
rnacentral:lncRNA from 1 species